GUAAACUGCAGUAGAGGCAGUGGCCCAGUCUGGGUUUACUUUCAGCUGAACUUAACGAAGUGCCCUUCUUACUAAAAUCAACACAAAAUAAUACUUGAAAUUUGGAGGAGGUAUUUGUGGAAGCACCAUUUUAAAUCCUCAGAGCACAUGGUAUAGAUCACUUGUUGGUUUGCUUCAUUUUCUGUAAUGGCCACGGUAGAUUUAUAGCCCUUCAAGGGAGAUGAUUAAGACACCUGAUAAAUAUGAAGUCCACAGUAAAAAUACUCAUGCCCCCCCCCUUUUUUUUUUUCACUCAGUAUAUCAGAGAAGCUCUUAUAGCAACUUUUGAGCCUUCCCUCACUAUUACACAGUGCCUCUGCAAAUGUGAGAGGAGCUCCCAUGCACAGACAGUGAGAACUGCUGGCCUUGAAAGAUGAAAGAGGCUGUGACAUUUGGGAGCCAAGUUCCUCCACUUCUUCUGGAUGUGCUGAGGGUGGGCCACUGUAAUCACUGAAUCCCAAACAGCAUCCUGUUAAAUAGUCUGGUACAGCCAGGAAACCAGAGACCAUGCUGAAAUAACAGCACGGUGUGCAUACUGGGGAUAGCACUGGGCAGUGACUCCUUUCCUUUUCAAAUACCAGAAGAACCAUGUGGGUUUUCAAUCAAGUAUCAGACAUUUUAAUAUAAUUUUGCUGAAAUCGGUUACAGUGCUCAAGGACUAUUCUACAUGAAAAAGACAGAUGAGGAAAUGCUGAAGGAAAAGACUACCAAAUACCCUCGAAGAAAGACUGUGAGACACUGACUCUAUACUCAGCUCUGAGAUCAGUAUAUUAGCUGACUGGCAUUUCUCUUCCUGAGGAAAGAUCAAUGAAGAAAAGAUCAGCUGAAGAAAGAUCGAUAGUGACCAGACAAACCAUUAAUUCAUAAGAAAAGAGAUUUUGCUUGGAGAAAUAGCACAUUACCCUGAGGCUCAAGCUCAGACUUGAUCAUUCUAAAUCUUACAUGUUGACCUGAAUUCUCACUCAAGUAAACUGCAAGCCCUGGAAGAAAGUGCAGACAAGCUCCACGCUGGACAGGGGUCCAGACAGGCAUAGCAACAGUGACCCAAACUAAGAAAGAAGCAUGCCAGCACACUUAGUCACACCGCAUUUGACAAGAUAGCCCCUUCUGUUUCCAUAAGUGGAGAUUUCUUGCAUGUGCUUGUAUCAAAAUGGAGCUAUUCCUGAUUUUUAUUACAGAUCUUCUAUUUUGAGGUCCACAGGCUGUCCUGCAGUUGUUCUUUGAAUGUUGUCUGGUUUGUCUUUAAAUAGUGAGUAUAUACACAUAUAAAAGCACACCAAGUAACAGAGAACAAGGUGCUCAGUAAAAAGCAUUAGGUGCUGAGGAAAAAGCUUUGAUGUCCUUAAGACAUUCAAGGAGUCAUUAAAGAGCAGUUCACCUGUGGAUACUGCCAAGGAGAGGCAGCACUACUUUACUGAGCAUGUUUUAAAGUGCUGUGUGUUAAGUAUAAGCAGCACAACUUUAACCAGUGUCCCGCUGUUUUAACUCUAGAAAGUAGUUUGUGAUGAGUGUAAGCUUCAUUUGGAGCAAAGUUCCAGCUUUUCCAGAACAAAAAAGAGCUUUUAUUCUAAUGUAUUUGUUGCCCUCUGGUAUUAUAUUUCUUUUUGAAUUUGCACAGGGUAAUGCACUUGUCACCAGGUACUGACUUGCUGCACUGCUGACAGGAGGAUGCUAACUAAAUGAGGGGGGGGUAACGGGGCCAUCUGCGGGGAGCAGAAAAGCAGUUGAAGCUACACAUGGAAUAAAAAAAUAGGCUUUCAAAGUUUAAAAGCAAACAAACAACAACAACAACAACAAAAAACAACAAACAAGAACAAGCAAGUAGUGAUAGAGAAGCAAAUUCAGCAAUGAGUAGCAGAAUUUUUCAGAGCAAAAAGGGAAUUCCAAAACAAUGCCAGAGUGAACACUGACUUCCACCUGAUGGAUUUAAGUUAAAAUAAAAUAAAAUAAAAAUCGCAUCUGCAAACAAACAAUACCAUACUAUGCAAGACAGGGUGUAUUCCUCCAGGUUAAAAUGCUAUCUAUUUCUCUUUGUGCUAGGAACCUUAUGGUUCCUAGACACCUAACAGGUCUAAUGUUUAUCUUAUGGUGGCAUGCUACUAAUUAUGAUUAAGUAAUUUUUGGACACAUACUUAAUGCAUAUUGGCUCCAGGUACGUAUUAUCUUAAUGGACUGCCACAUGUACCCAAUGAAAUUAUUAAUUAAAUCAAGUCUUAUUCGAUGCUGUGGUUAAAGGAAAGGCAACCUGGUUUAUAAAUCUAAUCCCCUAUCACUAGUUGUUUCUUGCUUUUAAAACUUUUACCAUUCUUUUCCAAUAAAAAAAAAAAAAAGAAAAAGAAAAAAAAAGAUUAAAUUUAGAAUUUUGUUUUAGGAUUAUGUUUCAAGAAUGUUUUUAGAAUAUCUGGUCCUUCCACUAUUGUUUCUUUCCAUAGUGAAAUUUCAUGGGAAGAAUAGAGAGAAAUAUUGCAGUGUUAUAGAGAGAUACUUCAGAAAGUAUGUAGUAUCAACAAAAGAGUGUUUUUCCUCAUUUUCCUAAUAUCACUACAUAUUUCCUUGGAAAAGUGGGGUAAAAAAUCAGGGUAUUGCAAGGAUUUCCUAAACAAGAAAUAUUUUAAAAUAAACAUAUUUUUCUUUGUUAUCUAUUUUUGCAUAUAAUAUAAAUACCUUCCUACAGAAAAAAAAAAUGAAGAAUUUUGCAAAAA